GACAGAGGUGCCGAGUGUUAGGCGGAAUCACUGGGCUUAAAGCGUGUGUAGGCGGGCCUGCAAGUACUUUGUGAAAUCCCACGGCUUAACCGUGGAACUGCUUGGUAUACUGCAGGUCUUGAGGCAUCUAGAGGCAACUGGAACAAACGGUGGAGCGGUGAAAUGCGUAGAUAUCGUUUGGAACGCCCAAGGUGAAAACAGGUUGCUGGGGAUGUACUGACGCUGAGACACGAAAGCCAGGGGAGCAAACGGG
rnacentral:rRNA from 1 species